GGCCGCGGGAAUUCGAUUCAAACAUAACACAUGCAAGUCGAACGAAGGCUUCGGCCUUAGUGGCGCACGGGUGCGUAACGCGGGGGAAUCUGCCCUUAGGUUCGGAAUAACAGCUGGAAACGGGUGCUAAUGCCGGAUGAUGACGAAAGUCCAAAGAUUUAUCGCCGGAGGAUGAGCCCGCGUUGGAUUAGGUAGUUGGUGGGGUAAAGGCCUACCAAGCCGACGAUCCAUAGCUGGUCUGAGAGGAUGAUCAGCCACACUGGGACUGAGACACGGCCCAGACUCCUACGGGAGGC
rnacentral:rRNA from 1 species